AGCAGCUCGUCCCCGCCUGCCCCUGCCCAGGUUUUCUCUUCAACAUACGCCCCGCAAGCACCUUGGGGUGAGGCAGGGGGUGGCCAGCUCCAUCCUCGGGAAGCACGCGCUCAGCCCUCCGAGAGAAAUAAAGGCGAGGAUAGGAGUGGACGAGGGAUGGGGCAGGCAGAUGGCAGAGAGAAGCCUGGAGGCGCCCGGGCCAGCAGGGCAUUGAGGAUAUAUCCCACGGUGCCCGCAGGCUGGGGGUACCCCCGAGCGCAGAAAAAAAUCCGAGACAGCUAGCUGAGCUCCAACCCGGGAAUUCAGAGUCCUCAGCAGGAGGCAGGACAAGGCCACAGGCUGAGGAGGUGGCAUGACACAUGCCAAGAGUGGGGGCGAAGGAGGAGGACAGCUCUGGGCAGGGAGGGGCCCUGGCUUGUGGCAGCAGGCACAGGAACUAGCCAGACAUGUGGGCAGGGGUCUCCCUGUCCUCUCCAGGCCCUAACGGGUAGCUGAGAACCAGCAACACAACUGCCCCGGCCUGACCUCGUUCACUGAGCAGACUCCGUGCAGGGCCUGCGCUGCCCGGGCCCCACGCCAGGCGAGCUAGAGCCCAGAGGCAUCUGCAGUGACGCUGGCCUCACCGGCUGCCCGGGCACAGGAGGAGACGACAGACAGGGAAGCCCAGCAACGCGGGAGGAUAAGCAGGGUGACACCUGAGGGAUGCGCUCCGAGCUGUGGGCCAGAAGCAGCCUAGAUGGGCAGGAACGUGAAGGAAGGACUGUGACAGCGGAGGCCAGGCCGGUGCUGAAGGACAAGGCCUGGCGGCGUGGGGAGAGGACAAGCUUCUGCACUCUUCUGACCCCUAUCACGCCAAGAAUGAGAACGUCACUUCCAUCACAGGAAGUCUGCACGUGGGCCUUGGUGACGGAUGAUUCGGAAGAUUCGUCCACGGCUGCGGAGAACAGGCCGCUCAGGCCAGGGGUGCCGUGAGGAGGCUGAGGUCCCAGUCCCUGAGCCUCUGGCCAGGUCUCCAGUGGCAGGCAGGGCAGUGAGGACCCUUGCCAGGAACUCACGGACCCCUCACGGCCUGCUGUGGAGACACCAGCUUCAGGGUCCUGCAAGCAAGGAUGGCCGGCUCCCAAACUUUGCGAUCUGUGAGCUGGAAACUUCGACGACCCUAGUACUUCAAAGGGCGGCAAGCUGGCCGCGUGACUUGACACGGCUGGGCCCCACCCGCGUUUCCCUCCCCGUGGCCAAGUGGCUUUGGGAGCUGGCCCAGCGCUGACCCUCCUGAGGCCUGGGCCCGAAGCGCCCACCCACAGCACCUGCUCUGCUGCCCGGCUCCUGGCUGCAGCUGC
ensembl:lncRNA